AUGGAACUCGCAACGACGCGAUUUCAGCUUGUGGCCUUUGGCGUUCGUAGUCGGCGCGACCUUCUAUGGCAUGUAGGUCGGAAGCACUCGAUCGGAGGGAGAGGAUCGGCAAUCGUCGGAGGGAGUACGGUGACGGUACCCGUUGUUGUGCGUGAGGUGGUGCUCGGCCUUGGACGGUUCGGUUGGAGCAUCGCGUCGGCGUCGGGAACAGAGCUAGUCCAGCGUUGUGAUGGCUGUAGCGAAGGACUGAGCCGAGGUCGUUUGUGUCGGAUCCGGCGGCUUCUCUUUCUCAUCUUCUUCAUCCUUUUGCUUUUCCUGUAA